AUGAGCAAGCGAUGCCGCACUACUGGUCUGGUGGCACGAACCACCAUGGUGGAUUCUGCAUCGCUUGAGUUCGUAGUAGACUACGAGCAAAACAAGCACUUGGCCGUCGGCAAGUCCGUCCACUCCGACUACAUCUCCGCCGGUGGGCACGACUGGAGGAUACAUUGCUACCCGCGUGGGUGGGUGAAAGCCAACAAUGGCAAGUAUCUCUCUAUCUACCUCUACUGCAGCGAACCCGCAACUACUGUCAGGGUCAUAUUCAAGGCCAAUGUGAUGGGCAGGCAUGGCAAACCAUCUCCAAUAGCAGCAACGUCAUCGGUUUUUGUGUAUAGUAGCAAGGACGACAUACUAUGGCAUGGGUGGUCUAGGUUCGUCAAGCGAGUAGAUUUGGAGGCAAAAUGUGUGAUUGAAGGCCGAGUCACAUUCCUCUGCCACAUCUUGGUUAUGCAUGACAACCCAAUCCCCGUGCCACCCCCAAAAAUAGGAAAUCAUCUCAACAGCCUAAUCGAUGGAAUGGACAUGGACGGGACAGAUGUGUCAUUCACCACCAAUGGUGAGACAUUCCAUGCGCAUCGAGCAGUGCUUGCUGCCCGUUCUCCGGUUUUCAGAGCCAAAUUCUUCGGCCUGGAGGCUGGGGCCACAUCUUCAAACAUCAUCUUGGAGGACAUUGAGCCCGCGACAUUCAAAGUUUUGCUUAAGUUCAUGUACACCGAUGCCUUGCCUGGAGAUGACAGGGUUUUGCGCUCUCCACCAAUUGAGAUGUUUCAUCAUCUGCUUGCUGCGGCGGACAAGUACGCACUGCAUAGGUUGAAGCUUAUCUGCGCCCGAAAGUUAGGGGAGAAUGUGUCACUAGAUUCUAUUGCAACUACUCUAGAUUUGGCAGAGACGAACAGCUGCCUGGAGUUGAAGACAAAGUGCAUUGACUCUUAG
rnacentral:rRNA from 1 species